ensembl:lncRNA
UUCUCUCAGACUCCAGGUUAUCCACAUAGAAAAUUUAAUUGUCAAUAAUGCAAAAUGACAGUUAAAGGCAGUUCAUCAUUGAAUCCAGUGAUGUCAUCAUGCAGCUCAGUUCAGUUUAAAUAGUAUCUGUGCAAUAAUUUGCAAUAAAGUCAACGAUAUCGCUGUAAAUGAAGUGUCCCCAACUAAGCAAGCCAGAGGCGACAGCAGCAAGGAACCAAAAUGCCAUCGGUCAAGUCAAGUCAAGUCAAGUCACCUUUAUUUAUAUAGUGCUUUAAACAAAAAAGAUUGUGUCAAAGCAACUGAACAACAUUAAUUAGGAAAACAGUGUGUCAAUAAUGCAAAAUGACAGUUAAAGGCAGUUCAUCAUUGAAUUCAGUGAUGUCAUCAUGCAGCUCAGUUCAGUUUAAAUAGUAUCUGUGCAAUAAUUUGCAAUCAAGUCAACGAUAUCGCUGUAAAUGAAGUGUCCCCAACUAAGCAAGCCAGAGGCGACAGCAGCAAGGAACCAAAAUGCCAUCGGUCAAGUCAAGUCAAGUCAAGUCACCUUUAUUUAUAUAGUGCUUUAAACAAAAAAGAUUGCGUCAAAGCAACUGAACAACAUUAAUUAGGAAAACAGUGUGUCAAUAAUGCAAAAUGACAGUUAAAGGCAGUUCAUCAUUGAAUUCAGUGAUGUCAUCAUGCAGCUCAGUUCAGUUUAAAUAGUAUCUGUGCAAUAAUUUGCAAUAAAGUCAACGAUAUCGCUGUAAAUGAAGUGUCCCCAACUAAGCAAGCCAGAGGUGACAGCGGCAAGUCGGGGGGCCAGUUCUCCUCUGACCAGACGAAACCAGCAGUUCAAUUCCAGGCUGCAGCAAAGUCAGAUUGUGCAGAAGAAUCAUCUGGUUCCUGUGGUCUUGUCCCAGUGGUCGUCUGAGACAAGGUCUUUACAGGGUAUCUGUCUCUGGGGCUCUAGUUGUCCUGGUAUCUGCUGUCUUUCAGGGCUGUAGAGGUCCUUUCUAGGUGCUGAUCCACCAUCUGGGCUGGAUACGUACUGAGCUGGGGUUGAGGCUGAAUGCCAAGAAGCUAUGCCAGUCACUUUAUGUAAAGCAGUUUCAGUGACUGUUGGGUCUGAUGGCAGCAGCAUCCAACAUAAUACCUUUUGACCUGCUUUACAUGAGACCCUUGCAGUGGUAUCUCAGGAUCAAGGGGGGCAACCCAUAUCACAUGAUCAAGGUCACGUGGUGCGCUGCCUUUGUGCCUUAGUCAUGUAGAAGAAACCUUGGUUCCUGUCUCAGUGACAGAUUUGGGGAGAUUUGGAGCAUUUUUGGCCAGACUCAAGUUGACCUGUUUGCGUCUCUGAAGACUUCUUUUGGGACUGGAUGCCAUGGUACAGACGUGGCCCAGGCUGGAGAAAGUUUAUGAGAGAAUCUAGAGUGCUUCUGUCUUGAGAUGUGCGCUUCAACUUCACACUAGACAUUUGUCAGUAUGGUGGAGUUGGUAAUCUCGUUUGCAAAACGUUUCCGAUACAGCACGAGUUCCUGAACGGGAACGCCUGUAGGUAACUG